rnacentral:rRNA from 1 species
AUUGAACGCUGGCGGCAGGCCUAACACAUGCAAGUCGAACGAGAGGGGGACGGGUGAGUAAUGUCUGGGAAACUGCCUGAUGGAGGGGGAUCACUACCGGAAACGGUAGCUAAUACCGCACACCAUAGGAUGUGCCGCGGUGGGAUUAGCUAGGGGUUGGGGUAAAGGCUCACCAAGGCGACGAUCCGUAGCUGGUCUGAGAGGAUGACCAGCCACACUGGAACUGAGACACGGUCCAGACGCCUACGGUAGGCAGCAGUGGGGAAUAUUGGACAAUGGGCGCAAGCCUGAUGCAGCCAUGCCGCGUGUGUGAAGAAGGCCUUCGGGUUGUAAAGUACUUUCAGUGGGGAGGCGUUACCAGCAGAAUAAGCACCGGCUAACUUCGUGCCAGCCGCCGCGGUAAUAC